AGAGUUUGAUCCUGGGCUCAGGACGAACGCUGGCGGCACGCCUAACACAUGCAAGUCGAACGGAGAUGAUUUGAGUUUACUUAGAUCAUCUUAGUGGCGGACGGGUGAGUAACACGUGAGCAACCUGCCUUUGAGAGAGGGAUAGCUUCUGGAAACGGAUGGUAAUACCUCAUAACAUACAGAUACCGCAUGGUGACUGUAUCAAAGAUUUAUCACCCAAAGAUGGGCUCGCGUCUGAUUAGAUAGUUGGUGAGGUAACGGCUCACCAAGUCGACGAUCAGUAGCCGGACUGAGAGGUUGAACGGCCACAUUGGGACUGAGACACGGCCCAGACUUCUACGGGAGGCAGCAGUGGGGAAUAUUGCACAAUGGGGGAAACCCUGAUGCAGCGAUGCCGCGUGGAGGAAGAAGGUUUUCGGAUCGUAAACUCCUGUCUUAAAGGACGAUAAUGACGGUACUUUAGGAGGAAGCUCCGGCUAACUACGUGCCAGCAGCCGCGGUAAUACGUAGGGAGCGAGCGUUGUCCGGAAUUACUGGGUGUAAAGGGAGCGUAGGCGGGACGGCAAGUCAGAUGUGAAAUACAUGGGCUCAACCCAUGGGCUGCAUUUGAAACUGCUGUUCUUGAGUGAAGUAGAGGUAAGCGGAAUUCCUGGUGUAGCGGUGAAAUGCGUAGAUAUCAGGAGGAACACCGGUGGCGAAGGCGGCUUACUGGGCUUUUACUGACGCUGAGGCUCGAAAGCGUGGGGAGCAAACAGGAUUAGAUACCCUGGUAGUCCACGCUGUAAACGAUGAUUACUAGGUGUGGGGGGACUGACCCCUUCCGUGCCGCAGUUAACACAAUAAGUAAUCCACCUGGGGAGUACGGCCGCAAGGUUGAAACUCAAAGGAAUUGACGGGGGCCCGCACAAGCAGUGGAGUAUGUGGUUUAAUUCGAAGCAACGCGAAGAACCUUACCAGGUCUUGACAUCGAGUGCAUAACUAAGAGAUUAGUGAAAUCCCUUCGGGGACACUUAGACAGGUGGUGCAUGGUUGUCGUCAGCUCGUGUCGUGAGAUGUUGGGUUAAGUCCCGCAACGAGCGCAACCCUUACCUUUAGUUGCUACGCAAGAGCACUCUAAAGGGACUGCCGUUGACAAAACGGAGGAAGGUGGGGAUGACGUCAAAUCAUCAUGCCCCUUAUGACCUGGGCUACACACGUACU
rnacentral:rRNA from 1 species